GCGCCGGUGGUGUAAAGGCGUAGAGCAUUCCCGCCCGGUCAGAGGGAGGUGCGGGUUCGAGUCCCGCCUGGCACU
rnacentral:tRNA from 1 species